AGGAAUUCAUCCAUUUGAAGAGUUAGACGUCGGAUAGAUUACUUCAAAAAAUUCAAGAAAUUGAACUGAGCUUCAGUUUUUCGAUCAUGCUUAGAAGAAGUGAACGUUUGAGAAACAACGGAUACUAUGAUAUGGAUGGACAACCUGUUAUUUCAUACAGGGAGGCGCCAAUCAGGGCCAUAAGGAGGCGCUUAACAGGUCGUCCUGAAAACCACCCUGCAGUCACAUUUAGAGAGAGGUCACAUUAUUCUGGUGACAAUGUGAUUGACAGAGAAAGACAGAUGAUGAUGACUCUG